GUCUACGUCCAUAUCACCCUGAAUGGGCCUGAUCUCAUCUGAUCUCGGAAGCUAAGCAGGGUCGGGCCUGGUUAGUACUUGGAUGGGAGACUUUCUCUAGCUGACACAGCCC
rnacentral:rRNA from 1 species